UACAUGCAAGUCGUACGAGGGCUUUUAGCCCUAGUGGCGGACGGGUGAGUAACACGUGAGAAUCUGCCCUUAGGAGGAGGAUAACAGCUGGAAACGGUUGCUAAUACUCCAUAUGCCGAGAGGUAAAAGGAUUUAUCCACCUAAGGAGGAGCUCGCGUCUGAUUAGCUAGUUGGUGAGGUAAAGGCCCACCAAGGCGACGAUCAGUAGCUGGUUUGAGAGGAUGAUCAGCCACACUGGGACUGAGACACGGCCCAGACUCCUACGGGAGGCAGCAGUAGGGAAUUUUCCGCAAUGGGCGAAAGCCUGACGGAGCAAUACCGCGUGAGGGACGACGGCCUGUGGGUUGUAAACCUCUUUUCUCAAGGAAGAAGUUCUGACGGUACUUGAGGAAUAAGCAUCGGCUAACUCUGUGCCAGCAGCCGCGGUAAUACAGAGGAUGCAAGCGUUAUCCGGAAUCACUGGGCAUAAAGCGUCUGUAGGUUGUUUAGUAAGUCCGCUGUUAAAGACUGGGGCUUAACCCCAGAAAAGCAGUGGAAACUGCUAGACUCGAGUGUGGUAGAGGUAGAGGGAAUUCCUAGUGUAGCGGUGAAAUGCGUAGAUAUUAGGAAGAACACCAAUGGCGAAGGCACUCUACUGGGCCAUAACUGACACUGAGAGACGACAGCUAGGGGAGCAAACGGGAUUAGAUACCCCGGUAGUCCUAGCCGUAAACGAUGGAUACUAGAUGUUGCACGUAUUAACCCGUGCAGUAUCGUAGCUAAGGC
rnacentral:rRNA from 1 species